ensembl:snoRNA SNORA50B small nucleolar RNA, H/ACA box 50B
GCACUGCCGCGGAACCUCUGUUGCGCCUGUCUGGUAGCCUCAGGGUCUAGCGGCAGUGCCAGAGCACACCCAGCUUGUUCAGAUCCGGGGUUGCUUGGAUGCACCUGAGCGAUCCCUUUGGCGGCAAGCGACACUG